rnacentral:rRNA from 1 species
GAGCCGGUAAAACUCGUGCCAGCCACCGCGGUUAUACGAGAGGCUCAAGUUGACAGACAACGGCGUAAAGAGUGGUUAGGGAAACUUUAAAACUAAAGCCGAACGUCCUCAGAGCUGUUUAACGCUCCCGAGUUAAGAAGGUCUUUAACGAAAGUAGCUUUACCAAACCUGACCCCACGAAAGCUGUGAAAACAAACUGGGAUUAGAUACCCCACUAUGCUCAGCCCUAAAAUUCGAUAGGUCACUACGCCCCCUAUCCGCCCGGGUACUACGAGCAUCAGCUUAAAACCCAAAGGACUUGGCGGUGCUUCACAUCCGUCUAGAGGAGCCUGUUCUAUAACCGAUAACCCCCGUUAAACCUCACCCUCCCUUGUUAAUCCCGCCUAUAUACCGCCGUCGUCAGCCUACCCUGUGAAGGACUAGAAGUGAGCAAGAUUGGUAAGACCCAAAACGUCAGGUCGAGGUGUAGUAUAUGAGAGGGGAAGAAAUGGGCUACAUUUCCUAAAUCAGGAAAUACGAACAAUGAACUGAAAUAAGCAUUAGAAGGUGGAUUUAGCAGUAAGCAGAGAAACAGAGUGUUCUGCUGAAGUUAAUGGCAAUAAAGCACGUACACACCGCCCGU